CCGUGCUAAGGUAGCGCAAUCACCUGUCCCUUAACUGAGGACUAGUAUGAACGGCUAAAUGAGGGCCCAACUGUCUCCUAUGACCAAUCAAUGAAACUGACCACUCAGUACAAAGGCUGAAAUAAUCACAUAAGACGAAAAGACCCUAUGGAGCUUUAAACUAGGAUACUACCGACCGUAACCCACUAGAUCCCCCUAGUAUCCACUUUUAGUUGGGGCAACUGCGGAGCAGAACAAAAACUCCACGACCCUGCGUGUAAUACACGAACCACCCCAGGCAGCCACGCCACAGAACAAUGUUUGACCCAGUAUAACUGACCACCGAACCAAGUUACCCUAGGGAUAACAGCGCCAUCUUCCCCUAAGAGCCCGUAUCAAUGGGGAGGCUUACGACCUCGAUGUUGGAUCAGGACCCCCAGGCGGUGCAGCAGCUGCCAACGGUUCGUUUGUUCAACGACUAAUGUCCU
rnacentral:rRNA from 1 species